rnacentral:rRNA from 1 species
AAUGAAAUUUAAUUAAAUUAAUUAUAAAUUAUUAAAUGUUAAAUCAUUAAAUUUAAAAGAUUUGGCGGUAUUUUAUAAAGUUAGAGGAACCUGUAUAGUAAUUGAUAAUCCACAAUAAGAUAUACUUAAUUAAAAGUUUAUGUAUUGCUGUUUUAAGAUUAUUAAUAAAUAAGUUUUUAAAUUUUUAUAUAUAAAUAAAUUCAAGUCAAAAUAUAAUUUAGUUAAGAUUAAUAUGGGUUACAAUUAUUUAAAUAUAAAAUUUUAAUGAAUAAAUAAAUUUAAUUUUGUUUUAAAAAUGGAUUUAAUAGUAAAUUUAAUAAAUAAAUUAUUUUGAAAUAAAAUAAUAAAAUAAGU